GGGUUUCAGCUUUACCGCCCUGGUGAAGCUGGGAGGUUCAGUGCAUUGGUCGGGCCGCCAAUG
rnacentral:ncRNA from 1 species